rnacentral:rRNA from 1 species
GAAAGCGUGGGUAGCAAACAGGAUUAGAUACCCUGGUGGUCCACGCCGUAAACGAUGUCGACCAGCCGUUGGGUGCCUAGCGCACUUUGUGGCGAAGUUAACGCGAUAAGUCGACCGCCUGGGGAGUACGGCCGCAAGGUUAAAACUCAAAUGAAUUGACGGGGGCCCGCACAAGCGGUGGAGCAUGUGGUUUAAUUCGAUGCAACGCGAAGAACCUUACCUACUCUUGACAUCCUGCGAACUUGUGAGAGAUCACUUGGUGCCUUCGGGAGCGCAGAGACAGGUGCUGCAUGGCUGUCGUCAGCUCGUGUUGUGAAAUGUUGGGUUAAGUCCCGUAACGAGCGCAACCCUUGUCCUUAUUUGCCAGCGGGUAAUGCCGGGAACUCUAAGGAGACUGCCGGUGACAAACCGGAGGAAGGUGGGGACGACGUCAAGUCAUCAUGGCCCUUACGAGUAGGGCUACACACGUGCUACAAUGGCCGGUACAAAGGGUUGCGAGCUCGCGAGAGUCAGCUAAUCCCGAAAAGCCGGUCUCAGUCCGGAUCGGAGUCUGCAACUCGACUCCGUGAAGUCGGAAUCGCUAGUAAUCGUGAAUCAGAAUGUCACGGUGAAUACGUUCCCGGGCCUUGUACACACCGCCCGU